AGUAGCGUGGCCGAGUGGUCUAAGGCGCAGGUUUAAGGCACCAGUCAUUUCGAUGGCGUGGGUUUGAAUCCCACCGCUGCCA
rnacentral:tRNA from 1 species